rnacentral:rRNA from 1 species
CCUACGGGGCGCAGCAGUGAGGAAUAUUGGUCAAUGGGCGGGAGCCUGAACCAGCCAAGCCGCGUGAGGGAAGAAGGCACAGCGAAUCGUAAACUUCUUUUGUAAGGGAACAAAGGCGGGGACUAGUAUCCGGCUGAGGGUAUCUGAAGAAAAAGCAUCGGCUAACUCCGUGCCAGCAGCCGCGGUAAUACGGAGGAUGCAAGCGUUAUCCGGAUUUAUUGGGUUUAAAGGGUGCGCAGGCGGCCUGUUAAGUUAGCGGUAAAAGCCCGGGGCUCAACCCCGG